rnacentral:rRNA from 1 species
GACGAACGCUGGCGGCGUGCCUAAUACAUGCAAGUUGAGCGCUGAAGGUUGGUACUUGUACCAACUGGAUGAGCAGCGAACGGGUGAGUAACGCGUGGGGAAUCUGCCUUUGAGCGGGGGACAACAUUUGGAAACGAAUGCUAAUACCGCAUAAAAACUUUAAACACAAGUUUUAAGUUUGAAAGAUGCAAUUGCAUCACUCAAAGAUGAUCCCGCGUUGUAUUAGCUAGUUGGUGAGGUAAAGGCUCACCAAGGCGAUGAUACAUAGCCGACCUGAGAGGGUGAUCGGCCACACUGGGACUGAGACACGGCCCAAACUCCUACGGGAAGCAGCAGUAGGGAAACUUCGGCAAUGGACGAAAGUCUGACCGAGCAACGCCGCGUGAGUGAAGAAGGUUUUCGGAUCGUAAAACUCUGUUGGUAGAGAAGAACGUUGGUGAGAGUGGAAAGCUCAUCAAGUGACGGUAACUACCCAGAAAGGGACGGCUAACUACGUG